rnacentral:rRNA from 1 species
GACGAACGCUGGCGGCGUGCUUAACACGUGCAAGUCGAGCGGUAAGGCCCUUUCGGGGGUACACGAGCGGCGAACGGGUGAGUAACACGUGGGUGACCUGCCCUCAGCUCUGGGAUAAGCCUGGGAAACCGGGUCUAAUACCGGAUAUGACUCCAUGACGCAUGUUGUGGGGUGGAAAGCCUUGUGCGGCUGAGGAUGGGCCCGCGGCCUAUCAGCUUGUUGGUGGGGUGAUGGCCACCAAGGCGACGACGGGUAGCCGGCCUGAGAGGGCGACCGGCCACACUGGGACUGAGACACGGCCCAGACUCCUACGGGAGGCAGCAGUGGGGAAUCUUGCGCAAUGGGCGAAAGCCUGACGCAGCGACGCCGCGUGAGGGAUGA